AGAACAUGAUGACAAGCCUUUGGAUACUUAUAGAUGCACAGCCAAUUCAGCAAAUUUUCAGCCUAGAAAAUAUGCUAAUGCAGUUUCUGAAGCCAAGGCUCAACCUAGUCUUGAUACUGUUCUCUCACAAAAAGGGAAAAAUAAUGAUUUGAUGGAG